UAUGAGGCUUUCCUCAAAGCCAUACAAUAAUAAUACAAGUUUGUAU
rfam:Felis catus isolate Cinnamon breed Abyssinian chromosome D4, whole genome shotgun sequence.